AGAGGGGAUUUUAGUAGGGGAAACCAGGAAUGUUUAUUUAUUAACAUUUGAAAUGUAAAUAAAUAAAAUAACCGAUAAAAAUGUUUGCAAAAAGAUAAAAAGGGGUAUAAAAUGUGGAAACAACAACAAAAAAAUAGCCCUACAGACAAACAAACAAAAAGUCUGUCAAGUGAACAGUUAGCUGUCAUCACAUCCCCUGUCCACACCAUCACUCUUUCAACCUGCUAUGGGCGCCACGAUAUCAGAAUUAGAGACAUAUUACUGGGCUUAGAAAAUGUGUGUCACUAAGUAUGAAAUUAUUACCAAACAAAUAUUCUUUUAAGCAAUGCCAUGGUGAAAUAAACCGGCGCUAAAUGCCCCAUACUCCUGAGAUCUGAGAUAUAUUGCUAUGGGCGAUAAAAUCAAAACUUCAAUGUAUAGGCCUUCAGGAGACACUUAUCUCAACAGUAGCAUCGUGUUGAAGGAAGGAGAGGCCAACUUGGAAAGAUGAGGGUUUGGAUGAGGAUGAUGAUGGGAUGAUGGCCAUCUUCUGAUACUCUACUCUGCAUCAACUAACAAGCUACAUCUUGUCAGUGAGUCCCAUGGCUGGAAGAAAGCUGAAGUUUGGAUGGCCACAAGGUACAAAGUGAAUGAACAGGAGAUUAGAAGACAAAGAAAGAGUUAAAUGACAACUAAAGAGACAAGGGCUUCACCCUGUUCAGGCAUUUCCCAAUCCGGCCACGGGCCAGCCCUGCCCUCCGCUUCGUUCCCCAGCUCUAUGAAAUGCUGAUUAUAGUUUUUCCUAAUCAUAGAGAACGUUGUAGGGUAUAGUCUCCAUGAGAGAAGGUGUAAAACAUUAACCUCUAGGCAAUGAAAGUUUGUUCAAAUUGGAACUAAAUGCCAUGUGACACCUGGAUUUCAACAACAACAGCCAAAAUAAUUACCAAGGAAAAGAUCUUUAAGAUUACAAGGAACACACAGUUAAAUAUUAGUGUCCAAUGGUUUGAAGUGUUUGGGUUUUGCAAUGGUGUGGUUUGGAAACUUUCCAGCUGAGCAGCUAUUUUCUUUUAACAGGAGAGCUCCCUGGAAGAUGUUCUUUUCUAAAAUAAUGUGAUCCUUAGUGACAUAUUAUGGGACGCAAACUUGAAAUAGACACCAUUAUUUUAACCAACAUCAUUCUUACUAGAUUUUUAGUCAGCGAUGAACUAUCAACAGCUUCCUGAUAAUUAAUCCUGCUUGGCCCUAAAACUGUUAGUCUUAUCUGCUCUAAGAGGAAGCUUUCAAAUGUACCAGACUUCCUCGGUGAAUAGCACAGAACAAACUGAAAUUCUGUAGAUACACACACACACUCACAGGGUGGUAGGGUUUGAGAAUGAAGAAACAGGUUGAGAAUUACAAAGCUGCUCUGGUUGUCAGCUCCUUACUUGCAGAUAUUCUGCAGUUCACCUGGCACAGGAGUGGCUAACAGUGGAAUCAGCAGUACAGAUAGUCAGCUGGGCGAAACUCACUGGGUAGCUCCAUCAAAAUGUAUAGAGUAGUAACUAUUGCCAUUACCUGAGUGGUCUGGGUUGAGAAGCAACAUCUCAGGCAUCUCCACAAACAACUGGAAACAGUUCUCAUACGAUUUGAUUUUAUAUCAUUGAAGUCUAGUGUUUUCUUGAGAUGAAAGUUCUUUAAGAAUCUGUUACUAAAUUAUAGCUGCAAACCUGGCAUGGUGAUACAAGCGUUUGGGAGGUAGAGGCUGGAAGAUCUCUGUGGGCAGCCAACUCUACACAAUGAGACUGUCUCCAAUAAAUAUAUCGAGGUGGGGGCGGAGAAUGAAAGAGUCAGAGAGAAAAGCAGAGAGAGAAACAGAGACAGAG
rnacentral:lncRNA from 1 species